UAAUCACCGAACACUUCCAAGUUGUCUGGAAGCAACUUGAUAACUUAUCAGUACAAAAAUGUUCAUUUGUGUGAACGUUCUGACUGCAAUUUUUCUAACUUAUAAUCAUCGGAUCGAUCUGAAACAUAUCGGAAAAUGAAAAGCGAAAUAAAUAACUCCAAGCAACGGCGUAGCCAAGAGAAGGUUUUGGGGUUUAACACCAUACAACCCCCCCCCCCCCCUCCACACCCAAAAAAAAUAUUGGAUUGAAGUUGAAAAUUUAUUGAUGCAGACUGAUUUAAUUCAAUAUUACAAUAACAAUUAUCUGAUCCGUAGAUUGAUAACCUGUUGUUGUAAACAUCAUGAGGACUUUUGAUAAAUUGUCUAUUAGCAUCAAUAUCAAAUUCCUGCCUGAAAACAUUCCAAUAGAAAAUUCCAGAGUUCUGUUAUCAAUCAUAAUCCUCAGAUUUAUUUUCGUUUUUGUAGAGAUGUACUGUAAUAAGGGUCUUUAUUUAAUAGGAAGCGAAGUUAAAAUUGAUUUAAUGUAUAUGAAACAUAGAACUGCUCACCAAAAAAAUGCAUAACUUUCAACAUUUGCUAAAAAUGUUUUUGCCUUUCUCAUUCACUCUGAAAUUCGUCAAUCUAAUCCCGACCCGGAGAGCCGUGUGUCAUAUGCCAAUCGACUGAGUUCGUCGAGAUCGGAAAUGUCUGUGUGUAUGUAUGUGUGUAUGUAUGUGUGUAUGUGGAAAAAAAUGUGACCUCUGUUUCUCAGAGAUGGCUGAACCGAUUUGCACAAAGACAGUCUCAAAUGAAAGGUACAACCUUCCCAUCGGCUGCUGUUGAAUUUUUUAUUGAUUGGACUUCCGGUUCCGGAGUUACGAGUUGAAGAGUGCAAUCACACAGCAAAUUCCCAUAUAAACUGAAAUGAAAAAAUUUCAUGAUCAAAUUUGUAUUUUUGAUGUCAAAUGACUUUUAAAUGCAUGAAACAUUGAGAUGUUUAAUAAAAAUUGACUUCUUUGGACUUUGAUACAUUUUUGCCUUUUUCAUAUAGAAAAACUCUAAAAAUCGUCAAUCAUACCGGCCCGGAGGGAGUAUGCAGUGAGGGGUUGCUACUUUAAAAUUAAAACAAUUGCACUAUUAGGUGGAUUAAAACAGGUUUUUAUUUUGGGAAUGCGUCGAGUUGAGACGAAAACGUAAUAUGAUUAAUAACGAGGAUAACACUUUCCGAAUGUAGAGAGAAAUUUAUGAAAAAUGAUUUCCAUUCGAUUCUAGCAGGUUCUGAUCAAUUUUGAUGAGCAUUUGAUUUUUGUUGUAUGACCAAUUAUAUGUAUAGGUCAAAUGUUUAAAAACAGUAAUUUAAGGUCAAGAUAACAUCAUUUUGAAACCGCCAAUUUCGGAGGUUUAGUAUCUUCGAAGAGUUUUACAAACGUUAAACAGCGCAUCAUUUGAUAAAAUAAUUUUGACGGUAUAUCGUCCAAAAAGUAUUCAUGGUGAAUUUUCUCAGGUUGAUAUUCAUGACUACAAAAAAGUCUCAACAAAUUCGCUAAAGACACGAACUCUGUUACUAUUUUCUGAAAAAUUAAUUCUGCAUAAUUUUAAAACUUCAAAAAUUACGGUUUCGGAAUUAUGCCGUUUGGACAGUAAGAUCGAUUUUCACCAAACCGAAUUUCUGGCUACGCCGCUGAUUUCAAGUAAGUAGAAACAAAGUCGUUCUACACUCGUUCAAAAGAAACUUCUUCGAAUGCUGAAUAUCUAUUAUAACACAUUGAAACCCCGAUUUUAUCAGCCAAAUAUGAACAUAUGUGUGAUGGGCUGUAGCAGACGAACAAGACUGAAUUCGAGUAAAUCCUUUCUUGAGCAUGUUUUCCUUAUCAUGAAGAUAUGCGAAAUAUGCGAAAAUAAAAAGUUCAUCAUAAUCAGAAAUAGUUAUCAGACUACAUCAAGGGACGAGAAGAAUAUUUUAACAGCUUCAGUUUAUUAUAGAAAAAAAGUUGCCCGAUUUAGUCAAUGUCCCCAUUUUGUCAGCCUAAAAUACGUCGUGAGACUGAUAAAAAUGGGUCUUUAUUGUAUGUAUUAUUCGCUGUGUUUCACAUUAAUAGGUACAUUUCUUUUUUGGAGAUUUUUUUAUUGCAUCGAACUACAACAAUUUUUAGGUAGUUUUCAAGGGGUUAUUUUAUAGACUUACCAAUUAAUUGGUAUACUUAAGGGUUUAUAUGUUGCAGAUAGAGAAAAUACUUAAAUUUUCAGCUUUUUUCCUACACAAUAUUACGAAAGCUUAUUAAAAAAAAAUUCCUAAUAAGUUUGUGAAAAUUAUAAACUCUUUGAAAUUUUUUAAUAGUUUUUUUUUAUAUAACCGUGAUUUUUUAAUAAAUAGUGACCAUCGCUUCACAACGUAGUCUAUUGUUCAUGGCUUGCGAUUUAACUCGCCGCGCAGCUCUGAAUUAUACCCGCUGGUGCCCUAAGACGAUUUCGCUAGAUUUUCAGAGCACUGUGCACCCAGUGCAUUAACGCAAGUGACGGAAGGUUAUCGAAAAGUUUCGUGAAAAUGAAAAUUCCAGUAAUGAUGAUGAUUUUCCCAUACGGUUCGUUUUCGAGAGGAUUUUAUUUGUUCUUUGGCAUUAGGAUUAGCGAUAAUAGUUCAAAUCAAGGAUACUACUGGGAAGUCACCUUUAGAAAAAGUUGAUAUCGAAGUAAAAUUUGGAACUAUGCACACAUGCACUUCAGAGAUAGCGUGAUAUCAGGAGCUGUGAUUACAUUUCAACGCUUUUUUGUGAAAAGGGCGAUACUUACAAAUGUAAACAAAAGGCUUUUUUCAUACAUGUGAAUGAGGGCUUUGAAACGCAACAAAUUAACCUAAAAAUUUUGAUUCUACGAUAUUGCUUUCUUAAACUACAGCAAAAAAUACAACGGGUGAAACUGUAUUUUUGUUUGUUUAUUUAAAGUUUCGCCCUCCACGCUCCAUGCAAACAAACAGGGCGAUACUUUUUUUGCUGGCAAUUUAGAGGCGAAAGUGCUAUUUUCGUAUUUUUUUAGGAUUAUCAAGCUGAUACCAGCUGUAAAUAGUAACAAUGAUCUCUAUUGAAAAAAACACGGACGAAAUCGGUGGUGUACAACGGUAGUUAUUGUAAAAAAACGUAAGGGCGAUACUUCAAUGCUGAUAGGUGGGACCGAAAAAGUAAACAAUCGCCAAAGGGGCUAUACUAUCAUUUUGUCAAUUUCAAUAGCAAAAACAAAUUUUAAUUUAAUAAUUUCAAAUACUUUAUGAAGUUUUGAGUUUCGAUCACUGAAUCAUGCAUUCUAGGAUGUAAAAAAACACAAUUGUUCUUAAGUAGGAAAUAAAACCAAGUCUGGAAAUA